GACGAACGCUGGCGGCGUGCCUAAUACAUGCAAGUCGAACGAACUCUGGUAUUGAUUGGUGCUUGCAUCAUGAUUUACAUUUGAGUGAGUGGCGAACUGGUGAGUAACACGUGGGAAACCUGCCCAGAAGCGGGGGAUAACACCUGGAAACAGAUGCUAAUACCGCAUAACAACUUGGACCGCAUGGUCCGAGUUUGAAAGAUGGCUUCGGCUAUCACUUUUGGAUGGUCCCGCGGCGUAUUAGCUAGAUGGUGAGGUAACGGCUCACCAUGGCAAUGAUACGUAGCCGACCUGAGAGGGUAAUCGGCCACAUUGGGACUGAGACACGGCCCAAACUCCUACGGGAGGCAGCAGUAGGGAAUCUUCCACAAUGGACGAAAGUCUGAUGGAGCAACGCCGCGUGAGUGAAGAAGGGUUUCGGCUCGUAAAACUCUGUUGUUAAAGAAGAACAUAUCUGAGAGUAACUGUUCAGGUAUUGACGGUAUUUAACCAGAAAGCCACGGCUAACUACGUGCCAGCAGCCGCGGUAAUACGUAGGUGGCAAGCGUUGUCCGGAUUUAUUGGGCGUAAAGCGAGCGCAGGCGGUUUUUUAAGUCUGAUGUGAAAGCCUUCGGCUCAACCGAAGAAGUGCAUCGGAAACUGGGAAACUUGAGUGCAGAAGAGGACAGUGGAACUCCAUGUGUAGCGGUGAAAUGCGUAGAUAUAUGGAAGAACACCAGUGGCGAAGGCGGCUGUCUGGUCUGUAACUGACGCUGAGGCUCGAAAGUAUGGGUAGCAAACAGGAUUAGAUACCCUGGUAGUCCAUACCGUAAACGAUGAAUGCUAAGUGUUGGAGGGUUUCCGCCCUUCAGUGCUGCAGCUAACGCAUUAAGCAUUCCGCCUGGGGAGUACGGCCGCAAGGCUGAAACUCAAAGGAAUUGACGGGGGCCCGCACAAGCGGUGGAGCAUGUGGUUUAAUUCGAAGCUACGCGAAGAACCUUACCAGGUCUUGACAUACUAUGCAAAUCUAAGAGAUUAGACGUUCCCUUUGGGGACAUGGAUACAGGUGGUGCAUGGUUGUCGUCAGCUCGUGUCGUGAGAUGUUGGGUUAAGUCCCGCAACGAGCGCAACCCUUAUUAUCAGUUGCCAGCAUUAAGUUGGGCACUCUGGUGAGACUGCCGGUGACAAACCGGAGGAAGGUGGGGAUGACGUCAAAUCAUCAUGCCCCUUAUGACCUGGGCUACACACGUGCUACAAUGGAUGGUACAACGAGUUGCGAACUCGCGAGAGUAAGCUAAUCUCUUAAAGCCAUUCUCAGCUCGGAUUGUAGGCUGCAACUCGCCUACAUGAAGUCGGAAUCGCUAGUAAUCGCGGAUCAGCAUGCCGCGGUGAAUACGUUCCCGGGCCUUGUACACACCGCCCGUCACACCAUGAGAGUUUGUAACACCCAAAGUCGGUGGGGUAACCUUUUAGGAACCAGCCGCCUAAGGUGGGACAGAUGAUUAGGGUG
rnacentral:rRNA from 1 species